rnacentral:rRNA from 1 species
ACGAACGCCGGCGGCAUGCCUAACCCAUGCAAGUCGCACGAGACCUUCGGGUCUAGUGGCGCACGGGUGCGUAACGCGUGGGAACCUGCCCUUAGGUUCGGAAUAACUCCCCGAAAGGGGUGCUAAUACCGGAUAAUGUCUUCGGACCAAAGAUUUAUCGCCUUUGGAUGGGCCCGCGUUGGAUUAGCUAGUUGGUAGGGUAAAAGCCUACCAAGGCGACGAUCCAUAGCUGGUCUGAGAGGAUGAUCAGCCACACUGGGACUGAGACACGGCCCAGACUCCUACGGGAGGCAGCAGUGGGGAAUAUUGGACAAUGGGCGAAAGCCUGAUCCAGCAAUGCCGCGUGAGUGAUGAAGGCCUUAGGGUUGUAAAGCUCUUUUACCCGGGAUGAUAAUGACAGUACCGGGAGAAUAAGCUCCGGCUAACUCCGUG